rnacentral:rRNA from 1 species
GACGUGACUUCAGAGUUUGAUCCUGGCUCAGAGUGAACGCUGGCGGUAGGCCUAACACAUGCAAGUCGAACGGCAGCACAGUAAGAGCUUGCUCUUAUGGGUGGCGAGUGGCGGACGGGUGAGGAAUACAUCGGAAUCUACCUUUUCGUGGGGGAUAACGUAGGGAAACUUACGCUAAUACCGCAUACGACCUUCGGGUGAAAGCAGGGGACCUUCGGGCCUUGCGCGGAUAGAUGAGCCGAUGUCGGAUUAGCUAGUUGGCGGGGUAAAGGCCCACCAAGGCGACGAUCCGUAGCUGGUCUGAGAGGAUGAUCAGCCACACUGGAACUGAGACACGGUCCAG